UACGAAGGGGGGCUAGCGUUGUUCGGAAUCACUGGGCGUAAAGGCGCGUAGGCGGCCUGCUAAGUCGAACGUGAAAUCCCUGGGCUCAACCCAGGAACUGCGUCCGAUACUGGUUGGCUUGAAUCCGGGAGAGGGAUGUGGAAUUCCAGGUGUAGCGGUGAAAUGCGUAGAUAUCUGGAGGAACACCGGUGGCGAAGGCGACUACCGUGGACCAGCACUGACAC
rnacentral:rRNA from 1 species